GAUGAACGCUGGCGGCGUGCCUAAUACAUGCAAGUCGAGCGAACGGACGAGAAGCUUGUUUCUCUGAUGUUAGCGGCGGACGGGUGAGUAACACGUGGAUAACCUACCUAUAAGACUGGGAUAACUUCGGGAAACCGGAGCUAAUACCGGAUAAUAUUUUGAACCGCAUGGUUCAAAAGUGAAAGACGGUCUUGCUGUCACUUAUAGAUGGAUCCGCGCUGCAUUAGCUAGUUGGUAAGGUAACGGCUUACCAAGGCAACGAUGCAUAGCCGACCUGAGAGGCUGAUCGGCCACACUGGAACUGAGACACGGUCCAGACUCCUACGGGAGGCAGCAGUAGGGAAUCUUACGCAAUGGGCGAAAGCCUGACGGAGCAACGCCGCGUGAGUGAUGAAGGUCUUCGGAUCGUAAAACUCUGUUAUUAGGGAAGAACAUAUGUGUAAGUAACUGUGCACAUCUUGACGGUACCUAAUCAGAAAGCCACGGCUAACUACGUG
rnacentral:rRNA from 1 species